rnacentral:rRNA from 1 species
GACAGAGGGUGCAAACGUUGUUCGGAAUUACUGGGCGUAAAGCGCGUGUAGGCGGCUCUGCAAGUCAGGUGUGAAAUCCCACGGCUCAACCAUGGAAGUGCACUUGAAACUGCAGGGCUAGAGUCCUGGAGAGGAAGGUGGAAUGCUUGGUGUAGAGGUGAAAUUCGUAGAUAUCAAGCGGAACACCAGUGGCGAAGGCGGCCUUCUGGACAGUGACUGACGCUGAGACGCGAAAGCGUGGGGAGCAAACAGG